rnacentral:rRNA from 1 species
CGUCCGUUGGGAGGUAGGGGAAGUAACAAGACGUAGGAAACGAGCUGCUAAUACCGCAUGAUAUGUCUGUAUCACAUGGUACUGGACAUACAAAGAUCUAUCGCUCUGAGUGGGCUCGCGUCUGAUUAGCUAGUUGGUGGGGGCAACGGCCCACCAAGGCGACGAUCAGUAGCCGGACUGAGAGGUUGGCCGGCCACAUUGGGACUGAGACACGGCCCAGACUCCUACGGAAGGCAGCAG